AUUGAACGCUGGCGGAAUGCUUUACACAUGCAAGUCGAACGGCAGCACGGGGGCAACCCUGGUGGCGAGUGGCGAACGGGUGAGUAAUACAUCGGAACGUGCCCGGUCGUGGGGGAUAACGUAGCGAAAGUUACGCUAAUACCGCAUACGAUCUGAGGAUGAAAGCGGGGGACCUUCGGGCCUCGCGCGAUCGGAGCGGCCGAUGUCAGAUUAGGUAGUUGGUGGGGUAAAGGCCUACCAAGCCGACGAUCUGUAGCUGGUCUGAGAGGACGACCAGCCACAGGGGGACGAGGACACGGCCCAGCACCCGAGGGGGGGCAGGAGGGGGAAAUUUUGGAAAAGGGGCGGAGGCCUAUCCAGGCCAUUCCGGGUGAGGGAGAAAGGCCUUGGGGUGGUAAACUGUUUUGGUAGGGAACGAAAAGGGUUUGGUUAAACCCGGGGGUUAAGGAGGGACCCGUAAAAAAAAGCACGGCCAACUUCGUG
rnacentral:rRNA from 1 species